UGCGGGAUGCCGAAGUCGGGUCCCGCAGGCAAUACCGAAACUUGCUGAACCUAUCAGGAGAUUCACCAUGAGC
rfam:Pseudomonas oryzihabitans strain TSDA-ARS-TSMARC-56511, complete genome.